rnacentral:piRNA from 1 species
AAGAAGAGAAUGACAUUGAAGAGCAGC